UACGUAGGGUGCGAGCGUUGUCCGGAAUUAUUGGGCGUAAAGAGCUCGUAGGCGGUUUGUCACGUCUGCUGUGAAAACCCGGGGCUCAACUCCGGGCUUGCAUUCGAUACGGGCAGGCUAGAGUUCGGGUAGGGGAGUCUGGAAUUCCUGGUGUAGCGGUGAAAUGCGCAGAUAUCAGGAGGAACACCGGUGGCGAAGGCGGGACUCUGGGCCGAUACUGACGCUGAGGAGCGAAAGCGUGGGGGAGCGAACAGG
rnacentral:rRNA from 1 species